rnacentral:rRNA from 1 species
CAGUCGCCGCGGUAAUACGGAGGGUGCAAGCGUUAUCCGGAUUCACUGGGUUUAAAGGGUGCGUAGGCGGGCAGGUAAGUCAGUGGUGAAAUCUUCGAGCUUAACUCGGAAACUGCCGUUGAUACUAUCUGUCUUGAAUAACGUUGAGGUGAGCGGAAUAUGUCAUGUAGCGGUGAAAUGCUUAGAUAUGACAUAGAACACCGAUUGCGAAGGCAGCUCACUAAACGCUCAUUGACGCUGAGGCACGAAAGCGUGGGGAUCAAACAGGAUUAGAUACCCCCGUAGUCCCUGUCUCUUAUAC